CUCUCUCUGACGUCUGGGUCCCGCUAUCAGUCAUUCCUGUUCUCCUUCCUCCGCUCGCUCGCACCAGCGCCGGACCUCGCCGUGUUGUGCUUCCCGCGCCAAGCCACUGUCGGUCGAUUCCUUGCCCGAAGUGGAGCAUGCCAAGACCCCCUUCCUUUUCUCUGCAAUUGCCCUCGAUCCUUUCCUCCACCCGAUGCGAAUUUCUUUCCCCAUUCACGAGCGCUGUCUAUGGUAGGUGGCUGGAUCUUCAAUCAUCGGAGAUAUCCGUUGUUCUAGAGUCGAUUCGCCCCAGCUUUGUCCCUAUAAGAACCACCCAAUCCCCCAUCGUCGAUCACACGCAUUGACACCCUCUCCCGUGCUCUCCUGCCCUCUGCUCAUGCUCACCAUCGCCGCCGCACCGCCAUUGCUCGUGGCCAAGUGCCUUUGAAGCUUCUCUACCCACGCUAAGGCUACUGUGGUGGAGCCCAAAGAUUGUUGCUGCUUCUCCGCAUCUUCCCCGACUCGGUCCAGCCCUACAGCAUCGCUUCGACCUCACUGGAGCCCCACCGGCCGUCGUUCCUCAUUGUCAGCCGUCCCCACCGCCUCAGCCCCCCUUGUUGCCUAGGAGUCCACACCGCCACCGCUCCUUGGGAGUCCACACCGCCGUUCGAGAAGCCCGGAGUCAUGGUCAAGAAGGUCCUCGUGGAGUCGUAGCCCAAGGGGCAGGGCGCCACCGUCCUCGCGGAGUCGAAGCCCGAGGGGUAGGGCGCCACCGUCUUUCCUCAUUCUCCACCAGGAAAAUUUUACCUCUUGACUCUAGAUAUCCAAACCAUAAGGGUUAUCUAGCUCCAUACAAAGGUGUGAAAUACCAUUUGCCAGAGUUUAGAGCGGGACCACGGGCAAGUGGAAGAAAAGAGGUAUUCAACCAAUUACACUCCUCUCUUCGUAAUCAUAUCGAGCGUUUCGUCGGUGUUUUGAAGAUGAAAUGGAGAAUUUUACUAGAUUUACCAAACUAUCCAAUGUCGAAGCAGUCAAAAAUAAUACAUGCAUGUAUGGCUCUACAUAAUUUCUUUCGAGACAGCAAACUGGCCGACGAAGAGUUUGAUCGGUGCGAUCGAGAUGAGAACUAUAUGACAAUUCAUCCAACACAACAAGAUAGUACAAGUCAAUUGGGAGAUGAUGAGGGAGAGGUCGACAUGAAUAAUAUUCAAGAUCAAAUUGCAAAUGCAUUGUUUGCUAGGAGAAUGUAAUUUUAUUUAUAGAUACUUUCUUGUGCAUAAAUAAGAUGUACGAACUGACAGACUUCUAUUUUUGUAUCUUCAAAAUAUUUAUAUGAAUCGAUAGAAUGA